rnacentral:rRNA from 1 species
GUAGGGUGCGAGCGUUAAUCGGAAUUACUGGGCGUAAAGCGUGCGCAGGCGGUUAUGUAAGACAGAUGUGAAAUCCCCGGGCUCAACCUGGGAACUGCAUUUGUGACUGCAUGGCUAGAGUACGGUAGAGGGGGAUGGAAUUCCGCGUGUAGCAGUGAAAUGCGUAGAUAUGCGGAGGAACACCGAUGGCGAAGGCAAUCCCCUGGACCUGUACUGACGCUCAUGCACGAAAGCGUGGGGAGCAAACAGGAUUAGAUACCCUGGUAGUCCCACGCCCCUAAACGAUGUCAACUGGUUGUUGGGAAUUAGUUUUCUCAGUAACGAAGCUAACGCGUGAAGUUGACCCGCCUGGGAGUACGGCCGCAAGGUUG